CGAGCGGUAGAGAGAGCUUGCUUCUCUUGAGAGCGGCGGACGGGUGAGUAAUGCCUAGGAAUCUGCCUGGUAGUGGGGGAUAACGUUCGGAAACGAACGCUAAUACCGCAUACGUCCUACGGGAGAAAGCAGGGGACCUUCGGGCCUUGCGCUAUCAGAUGAGCCUAGGUCGGAUUAGCUAGUUGGUGAGGUAAUGGCUCACCAAGGCGACGAUCCGUAACUGGUCUGAGAGGAUGAUCAGUCACACUGGAACUGAGACACGGUCCAGACUCCUACGGGAGGCAGCAGUGGGGAAUAUUGGACAAUGGGCGAAAGCCUGAUCCAGCCAUGCCGCGUGUGUGAAGAAGGUCUUCGGAUUGUAAAGCACUUUAAGUUGGGAGGAAGGGCAUUAACCUAAUACGUUAGUGUUUUGACGUUACCGACAGAAUAAGCACCGGCUAACUCUGUGCCAGCAGCCGCGGUAAUACAGAGGGUGCAAGCGUUAAUCGGAAUUACUGGGCGUAAAGCGCGCGUAGGUGGUUUGUUAAGUUGGAUGUGAAAUCCCCGGGCUCAACCUGGGAACUGCAUUCAAAACUGACUGACUAGAGUAUGGUAGAGGGUGGUGGAAUUUCCUGUGUAGCGGUGAAAUGCGUAGAUAUAGGAAGGAACACCAGUGGCGAAGGCGACCACCUGGACUAAUACUGACACUGAGGUGCGAAAGCGUGGGGAGCAAACAGGAUUAGAUACCCUGGUAGUCCACGCCGUAAACGAUGUCAACUAGCCGUUGGAAGCCUUGAGCUUUUAGUGGCGCAGCUAACGCAUUAAGUUGACCGCCUGGGGAGUACGGCCGC
rnacentral:rRNA from 1 species